CGGGCAUACUACUAGUCUCUACUGCUUCAGGUGGACGAGGACGAGCCCUCCCUCAUGGCUGCUGCGGCUGCCUACUCCCUUGGUCACCACGCCCCUCCCGUGCCUGGGGUCUCCUUUCUCUCCCGCAGCGGCCGCAGUAGGCGCGUGUGGCUAGAAGGGUUGAGGGAGCGAGGUCGGUGCCCUCAGGGCGGACGCGGCCGGAGGUCGACGACGAGCAAGGGGCACGGCGGCGGCAGGUGGCUGCUGUAGCAGAACCAGCCAUCUUCCCGAUCCAGGCUGCCCAGGCAGGUUCCAGCCGGGCAUCCGCUGGCCACGCGCAUAAAUGUAUCAGGAAUGAGCCGGCCGUUCUACAGUUUGGAAUAUAAUCGGACGAAGAGCGGAGGAAAGUGGACCAUGAACAAUGGCGUGGCUCCGUAAUGUGGGACACCUCGCCAUUGAGGCGAGCGGCGGCUGCAUAUCCCACACCACACUUACCAUCUGCACGGGGGCCAUGGCCAAGCGAUGAAUUUUGCUCUGCACCUGGUUGGGAGCUUCUGCCUUGGCCUGUUCUUGACCAGCGGGAUGUGAACAUUGUCCGAGGUUGCCAAACCAGAUGAAAGAACAGGGAAAGACAUUGAGCUCACUGCCAAAGAUUGUUAUUCUGCGAAGAUAUAUCUCAUCUCUAAUUAUAGUAUUUCGUAGUGUCAUGCUGAUUAUUAUAGUUCGUCUUUGGCCUUGCACCGUGGUUGUGGUAAUAUUUGUUGUUUUUUCCUACCUGUACAGUUUAGGUCAGGUUUGAUCAUCUCCCCAGUACCCCAUGCUUGGCUCCCUUAAUGUUCAUAUUCCACAUUUCCUUUUUCACUAACCAGUCUCUCCAGUCUGACCUAUGCGUUUGUGUUAAUGUGUCAACAAACUUACUUUAUUUGAAAACUAGACAUUGCAUUUCAAAAUUCGUUACAGUAUAAAGAACAAGAAAUCCAUCAUUGCAAAGAUGACAAAUAUAUAACAAAAGCAUGCACUGAACUAUUCCGAUUGUUUUUUUUAGAAUAACAAACUCAUGAGUUGGUUCAGGUAGAUAUGCGACUAUGUCAUCGACAUCGAUAUAACAAUAUAUAUUCAUUGGUCCAUUUCAAACAAUCAGAAUAUAUACUUAUGUGAAGCAGAGAGGGCACCAUGGCGAAGGUGAGGUGGGCAUCAUCCAGUUUUAAAGGGGAGGGCUCCAGCAAGAAAUGUACCGCUAUGGCGAGAAACCGAGCUGGAAAGGGAGCGUCCAGCAGAAAAAUGGCAGGGUGCGUCAGGGGGUGGCAUUUUGCAGAAUGGUCUGGGGAGGUUCGCAACAUUGUCUACUCAUCUGAUGGGAAAAUCUCUAUCUGUUGCGUAUCGUGUGACUAUGGAACUGAUGCAGAGUUUGUAGGUCCUACUAUUUGAUCAGUGGAUGCGACUGAUGGGGGCAUGGAGAUGAUGGCGAGGCAUCGUGCUGUGGUGGCGGUGAUGAAGGUAACCUCGUCGAUGGUGGCGGCGACGGGUGGCUGUUGACGAAAGCGAUUCGGGGAUGGGGGAUGUGGAGUGGCAAGGGAUGGAGGCGUAGAACUGCAGCCAGGGAGACGGAGUGGCGGCAAGAUUGGACGAGCUCGCCUGCGGAGUGCGUGGGCAAGAUUUCCUUUCUGGGUCAAACGAGGGCUUCCUUCUGUGUGUAUGUGUUUGUGUGUGUGUGCGCGCACACAUGCGUGAGUUCACACUGAUAUUCCACUAAGUACAGCACAUGCUUAACUGAAAUUCUAGACAAAAGUUCACAUCCGGUUGGUACAAGGAUUCUACGGAUGUUCUCCCAUAACCUCUUGAAGUGAUGCAAUGCGACGAUCUUCAACCAUGAAAAUGAAACUGCCAGCAUGGACGGAAACUGCCAGCAUGGACGGCCUACUCCUAUGAUCUCACAGGUUCUUGCUUACAGUGGGAAUGAUGAGGCUAACAAGUUUUUCCUUGGAGGUGAGAUGUCACUUGACAACACGAAGGUGCCAAAGGCGUCUGAUAGAACCCAGGUGAAGGUGAAGGAGGUUUGGCUCUCAGACAUGCGUAACAGUCGAUGAUAACGACGUGCAGACUGAAAGUAUGGAUCCCAAGUUCAAAGCCAUAUCCAAUUAGUUUGUCUCUCAAAAAAAAUACAACAAAUGCUAAAGGAUGAUUUACCCAUGGAGGCAUGGACCGAGAUUGCUUUAAUUUGGUCGUACGGAAGAUUAUGUUUGAUGACAUCCAAAUGGCACAAAAAACAAAACAAUUGAUAGACAAACAUUAUCUCGACAUGAAAUUUUGGGUAUGUUUUUAAUUCAUUAUAUAUUUUUUCUAUAUUCUAAUUUUUUAAUCACCUUUCCAACCAAUUAUUUCAUAUACUGAUUUUUAAUUGUUUUG